GUGAGUAACGCGUGGGCAACCUGCCCCAAAGCUCGGGAUAACACUCCGAAAGGAGUGCUAAUACCGGAUGUAGUUGCGGUACUGCAUGGUACUGCAAAAAAAGGAGAAAUCCACUUUGGGAUGGGCCCGCGUCUGAUUAGCUAGUUGGUGGGGUAACGGCCUACCAAGGCGACGAUCAGUAGCCGUCCUGAGAGGGUGAUCGGCCACACUGGGACUGAGACACGGCCCAGACUCCUACGGGAGGCAGCAGUCGGGAAUAUUGGUCAAUGGGGGAAACCCUGAACCAGCAAUGCCGCGUGAGUGAUGAAGGUUUUCGGAUCGUAAAGCUCUGUCUUUGGGGACGAAUAAAUGACGGUACCCGAGGAGGAAGCCCCGGCUAACUACGUGCCAGCAGCCGCGGUAAUACGUAGGGGGCGAGCGUUGUCCGGAAUUACUGGGCGUAAAGGGCGAGUAGGCGGUUUAAUAAGUCAGAUGUGAAAUGCCAGGGCUCAACCCUGGAACUGCAUUUGAAACUAUUAGACUUGAGUGCAGGAGAGGAAAGUGGAAUUCCCAGUGUAGCGGUGAAAUGCGUAGAUAUUGGGAGGAACACCAGUGGCGAAGGCGACUUUCUGGACUGUAACUGACGCUGAGGCGCGAAAGCGUGGGGAGCGAACAGGAUUAGAUACCCU
rnacentral:rRNA from 1 species